rnacentral:rRNA from 1 species
UACGUAGGGGGCUAGCGUUGUCCGGAAUCAUUGGGCGUAAAGAGCGUGUAGGCGGUCCGGUAAGUCCGUUGUGAAAGUCGGGGGCUCAACCCUCGAAUGCCGGUGGAUACUGUCGGGCUAGAGUGCGGAAGAGGCGAGUGGAAUUCCUGGUGUAGCGGUGAAAUGCGCAGAUAUCAGGAGGAACACCUAUUGCGAAGGCAGCUCGCUGGGACGUGACUGACGCUGAGACGCGAAAGCGUGGGGAGCAAACAGG